UGCACCACAGACUUUAUACAUUGUGGUGGACAAAACAUGGCCAGAAAUUUAUCAACAUUUCUGCAAUUCAGAUGGACUACUUGUUGUGUCAGAUACUAGGCAGAACCCACUCACUUCUCUAAAGCCCUUAUAGGGAAGGUACUAUUAUUAUUCCUGUUUUUCAAUUAAGGAUACUGAGGCACUGUGAGGUUCACUGAAAGCUGGACUGUGAGGAAGAUUCGGGCCGUCGGACUCCAGACCCCAAGCUCUAACAUACUAUAUGAGUGAGGUUCUUUUGUUUCCUUCUUUGCACAGAUGGAGAAAUUAAGGCAUUGAAAAGUCACUUGCCCCAGAUGACACAGCUAGUGGACAGUCGAGGAAAUGUGGGCUCUGGAGUUGAAUCACGAUCUAGAUUCAAAUCUUGGUCCUGCCAUUUGCUGGAGGGACAUGUUUAGGAGGGCAUCCCAGGAGAAGGCAGAGUCCAGGAGGCGGAUGUUGGGAAGCAAAUCCUGAACUCAUCAAGUCCCAUAGCCCCUUUGUCUAUGGACCUUCUGCCAGCAUCUUCUGUAAGGUUCUAGGUAAGAGAAAGGACUCCCCUUUUCUUGGAGUGCAGAGGCUGGAAGUUAAGAGGUAUAUUCGGCAGAGGCCAGACAGGUGAGUGAAAAUGACAUGUUUAAAGAACUGAAAGAAAGUAACUAUGGCUGAAACAUGACAGGAGAGAGGGGAUGCGGAGAGAAGAGAUUGGAGAGGUAAAUGUAGGUCCCAUAUGCAGGGUCUUGGCUUGCCUUGGCAGGGAGCACCUGUUUAUUUGUCAAGGAUGUCCUGGCCAGCCUGUCCUCCUAGAGACCCCACAUUAUGCCCCAUGCUUCAGGGUCAGUAGUCAUUUGAUUUGUUCCUUUUACAGUUGUAUCUUUAUUUUCUUAUUAUAAUAAUACCUGCUUAUUAUAAAGAUAAAUACCACACAGUACAGAAAGAUAAAAGGCAGAAAAAAAUCA
rnacentral:lncRNA from 10 species